rnacentral:rRNA from 1 species
UACGGGGGGGGCAAGCGUUGUUCGGAAUUACUGGGCGUAAAGGGCUCGUAGGCGGCCAACUAAGUCAGACGUGAAAUCCCUCGGCUUAACCGGGGAACUGCGUCUGAUACUGGAUGGCUUGGAUUUGGGAGAGGGAUGCGGAAUUCCAGGUGUAGCGGUGAAAUGCGUAGAUAUCGGGAGGAACACCUGUGGCGAAGGCGGCCCCCUGGUUGGAUACUGACGCUGAGACGCGAAAGCGUGGGGAGCAAACAGG